UUAUGUAUUGUGUUUUUAAAAUACCAUUGUAUUGUAUUUUAAUGUAUGUUAUUGCACUGUAAAUGACCAUAGUGUUAUAAUGCGAGUCAUCGUUAUUGGUAGAAAAGAGGUGCAUUAUUGAACAUAUCCUGAGAUGCUUACUUUUCAGUUAUUAUUUGACAAACUAGUUUAAAGCGAUACAUUCAGGAUCAGUUCAUAAAAAGACAUUUAUUGUUCGCCUAUGCGAUUAAUUAAUUGUUAGACAGUUUGGAAUAGAUGAACUAACGUUACGUGGGCGUGGCUCUCAUUUAAAGUACAGCUAUUUAUUAUGACCAGAGCCGUUGAAAAACAUAUUUAACGGCUCUGAUUAUGACCAUUUGUAAAAUCAACUAAAUCGAUAUUAAAACAGAUCAAUUUGUCUCAGCUGCACUGUUUCUGUUUCAAAUAAUCGCAGGGCACCUUUGUGCACAAUCCGUUUGCAAUACUAGGAAUUUAAAGCUGCAGGCUGCGGAUGCUUCAGGAGUCAUUCAGAAAUUUAUGAAAUGCUAUCGAUCUUCGUUUAGACCGGUGUCUCCUGCAUACAUCUUUGCUCAGAACAGAUUACUGAAGCCCUUAUAAGGAUGUUUCAAACAGAAAGAGGAAGAGGAAGAGAGACUUAAAGUCUUACAGCCACAGCAUGUGAUUUGAAAUUUGAAAGGAAGUCGCAGGAGCUUUUAUCAGAAAGGAAAUAUAAAGUAACCUUUCCCAGGUGUUUUCCAAUGUUUCAGUCCCACUUCAGCUCUCUCGGAGUGGUUCAGAACUCAGUGGUUUGAAUUUGAGAUAUGUUUUAGAACAGAAGCCAACUUUAUGCUGUCUAAUUUAUGGACAGUAUAACAUUAUAAGGCAAGGAGCUCUCACUAAGAGCUCUCAUAAAAUACAACUCAGCUUAUACAUAGUGUUCCAAAUAAGCUCUCUGAUUGUACAUACUAAAUAAGGAAAAGAGGGUGGUCACUCACUUGGCUGUCAUUUCAGGAAUGUAUAUGUGUCAGAACAUGCACAAAUUCAGGCACAUUUAAAAAAAAAAAAGGAUUCAGUUUUACUUUUCACACUCCUGCAUAUGAAUGCAAUCGUGUCAAUCAGAUUCUCAAUUUUAGCUCUAUCCCGUGAAAAAUAUUAAAUGAGUUGGAUUAAAAAACGUUAUGUGAUGGAAAAUAUGUUUAAUUAUUGCUUAUGUUGUGUGUACUGCAAUGUAUUAUUUUAGAGCAUUGUAUUUCCUCAUUUUAUGAUGUGGCUUUAAAAAAAAUAUAAAAGAAUAAAUUAAUAAAAAAAAAUAAUACAAUUAUUUUAAAUAAAAAUACACUAUCUUUCAAAAGUUUGGAGUCAGUAAGAUUUUAAAAAUGUUAUUCAGCAAGGGCAUUAAAUUGAUCAAAAGUGAAAGUAAAGGCAUUUAUAAAGUUACAAAAGAUCUAUUUUAAUUAAAUGCUGAAAUGCUAAAAAAUAUAUAUAGUACUGUGUAAAGGUUUUAGGACACCACCAGCUUUGUUGUUUUAGCAAUGUUUUAAUGACCAUCCAUAUUUAUUUUUCAGUCUCUUUAUUACGAUACAAACAGAAAAUAAAGGAAAUAUGUACACAAAAUGUAGAGAAAAAAAAGGUUUUUUUAAGCAAAAAUCAGUAUUUAGUGUCACCUCCUGGACUUCUUCCAGUUUCUCAAAGAAGAAACUCUAUUUUGAAAGUUUAAUUGGCCUUCCAGUCCUUUUCCAUUCCAUUUAGGUUUAAGAGAGCCAGGUUCCUGCUAUUGCUCAAGUGUAAGGGGAGGUCACUAAAUACUUGCCACUUUAGCCUAUAAAUUAAACAGAUUUUAUUUUCUGUUUUUUUAAUACUGCAUUCAGAUUUACUGUAUUUUCUGGUUAUAUUCUAAAGGCCUAAGACUUUUGCACAGUAUAUUUCAGUUUCCACAAAAAUAUUAGGCAGCACAACUGUUUUUAACAUUGACAAUAAUAAGAAAAGUUUUUUGAGUAGCAAAUCAGUAUAGAAUGAUUUCUGAAGGAUCAUGUGACACUGAAGACUGGAGUAAUGAUGCUGAAAAUUCAGCUUAUAUUACAAUAGAAAACAGUUACAAAAAGAGUUUGAGUUUCAACUUCUACAAUAUCAUCAGCAGAGAGAGCUGUUGAGUCUGAGUAACAAAAUAAUGCAAGAUUGUAUGCAAGGACACUUUCAUGACACACAGAUGGGUUUACCUUCAACAAGAAUUCUAAAGAUGCAUUGACUUCUCGGAAUUCCUGCCUUAUCAUGUGCACAAAUCCCCAACAGACAACAGGACAAUCCCAUGUUUUUGAAUUUUAUUCUUUGAGGUCUUUGGAUGAAGAAGGAGAUGCAACAUAUGUUGUACAAUAAUGUAUACCAACAAGAAUCUUAACCCUAAAGUGGGAAACCUGCCACAUUGUACAUCAACAAUAUUUAUACUGGCAUUUUCUGCUACUUAUACUUUACGAGUUAAUUGGGGAGAAAAAACAAAAUCUAGCUUUCAGCAUAAUAUAGUUUUAGGAUGUUAUUUUCACUUAAUGGUUUCAUUAGUUGGGUUUGACAGAUGAACCUCAUUAAAUCGAGAGAUUUGCACUUUGUGCAUCGUUUACACUGCUUCAUUAGCAGAGAUUAUAACUCAGUCAAUGCUGAUUUUGAACUGAGAGAGCAGUCUGGAAGCCUGGAAGCAAGUUGAAAAUGUGUAGCUCUGGGCCACAUAAGAGUUCAGCUCAUCAAGAGAGUAAAUGAAGCUGGUUUAAUUAGCUUUUUCUAUAUGAAUGCAUCCUAAACAUAGCUGUUUUUUUAUCUACUUUAGGCUGUUGUUGUGUCUAUGGGGUGUGAUAGUUAUCAGUGUAAAUAUGGCAACAUUUAAUUCUUGUCAGAUGCCCUGUCUUGAUCCAUCAUCAGUGUUUGUUCCACACAAUGCAUUUACAGAGUUCCUUUUUCCCCAAGAAAAAUACAAAAGGAAGGUCAAGUUAGAUAGUACACUGUCAUACUGCAUAUUGUCAAUAAUCUUUUCCAGUAUGUUUGUCUUCACUAUUACAACUCGAAACUUUUACUUAAACUUUUUUCUUUUUUUAAGAAUUUGUGAUAUCUUAAAACUCUAGAUGUGAGGAUAUCAACAUGAUCUCUUUUUAACAAUAAGAAUGGUAACACUUUGUUAACAUUUGUUAAUAUUGGAUAACUACAUUAGUUUACAUCCCAUAAAAAAGGUAUAAAAGCUGUCACUGGGUGCAUAUUAGUAACUCAAAGGUACCAAAAGGUUACAUAUUAUUACCUAAAUAUUAGGACCUUUUUACUGUAGUCCCAGUGACAGUGAAAAUGACUUCUAAAGCAUUUAUUAAUAUUAAUUUCAACAUUUAAUAAUACAUUAUUAAAAUCAAAAGUUGUAUCUGUAAAUAUUAUUUAUUGUAUGCGCUAACAUGAACUAACAAUGAGUUGUAUUUUUAUUAACAUUAACAAAGAUUAACAGAUAACAUGCUUAUUGUUAAUUAAUAUAAUGCAUUAAUACUGUAAAGUAUUACCAAAGAAAUAAAACAAGA